rnacentral:rRNA from 1 species
UACGGAGGAUGCAAGCGUUAUCCGGAAUGAUUGGGCGUAAAGCGUCCGCAGGUGGCUAUGUAAGUCUGCUGUUAAAGAGUGAGGCUCAACCUCAUAAGUGCAGUGGAAACUACAUGGCUAGAGUGCGUUCGGGGCAGAGGGAAUUCCUGGUGUAGCGGUGAAAUGCGUAGAGAUCAGGAAGAACACCGGUGGCGAAAGCGCUCUGCUAGGCCGCAACUGACACUGAGGGACGAAAGCUAGGGGAGCGAAAGGG